rnacentral:rRNA from 2 species
UGGGGAAUAUUGGGCAAUGGGCGAAAGCCUGACCCAGCAACGCCGCGUGGAGGAAGAAGGUUUUCGGAUCGUAAACUCCUGUCCUCAGGGAAGAGAAGGAGACGGUACCUGAGGAGGAAGCCCCGGCUAACUACGUGCCAGCAGCCGCGGUAAUACGUAGGGGGCAAGCGUUGUCCGGAAUGAUUGGGCGUAAAGGGCGCGUAGGCGGCCCGGUAAGUCUGGAGUGAAAGUCCUGGCUUCAAGUUGGGAAUUGCUUUGGAUACUGUCGGGCUUGAGUGCAGGAGAGGUUAGUGGAAUUCCCAGUGUAGCGGUGAAAUGCGUAGAGAUUGGGAGGAACACCAGUGGCGAAGGCGACUAACUGGACUGUAACUGACGCUGAGGCGCGAAAGUGUGGGGAGCAAACAGG